rnacentral:lncRNA from 1 species
AUCCAAAUCUCACAAUAACCUCACAAGAUAAGAAACAUUAUUUCCAUUUUGUAGAUGAUGGGAUUGAAGCAGGGAGUGGAACUACAGGACCAGUUUAAACUGGCCCCAUCUUAUCAAUAACAGAAUGUUAAAGUUAUCUUGCAGGGGCAGUGGGCCAAAACUGCAAGUUAUAGCUGGAGCAGAGGCAGAGGAGAAAAUUUUGACCUGAACCAAAGAUUCUCCCCCCAUGGGAUAAAAGCACCAAGACACAACAUGAACUCAAAGCUGGACUCUCUUCAGAAGUGGGUCUGUUGUCCAGAAAGAUUUGGUGCCAGUGCCGUACUGUUGGCUUCUCUGCGCAUCGGCAGCAGACCCGGUAACAGGAGUUUAAGAAACUUGUCCGUUGUUAUGCAGAUAAUAAGUGGUAAAGCCAGGAUGUAAACUGGUUUCAAGUCCAGCCUACUAAACCACAGCUGCCUCGAAAUAGGAAUGUUUUUGAAAAGGUCAUUGCUGUUGCCCCUCUAGACCAUAAGCAACUUGAAGAGAACAGGUACUGGUGUCUCCAGUACCCAGCAUAGUGUUGGAAUAAAGCAGUGACUUGGAACCCUCCCAGAACCCACCAGCAGCCCUGUGGACUCCAUCACCUCAAUAAGGUCUGGGUUUCUCACGGAAGAG